GAUCAAGAUAGCACCUGUAGACAGGACCAUACCCACCUUCCCCAAUUUUCCGGUUCUCUGCAAAGUUUUCUGUGGCUGCUUCUAUAUCCUCAAUUGUGUAUUUCCUAUACCUCAGCUAGGAUCAAGGCAGCUUCUUCUGCUAGUUGAGCUUCUUCUAGUCUUUGUUGUUCCUCCAUCUUCCACCGGUGGAGCUCCAUUGCCUGCAUCAAAAGAAAUCAUCACGAAAGGAACUCAAUUUUGGAGGUUUUCAUGGAAACAUUACCUUCUGUUUAGCCGCAUAAAGCUUCAAUAUGAUUGGAAUUGGAAGUGCACGUACCGACAUUUGAGAUGAAAAGCUCCCAUUGGAUCGAGGAGAGAAACCACUCCUAGAUGAGUAAGCAUCCAAUGAUGACCUGUGUGGUGAUUGCACUGACUCAAAGCUGCAAUCAAGGCCAUCUGAUAUGCAGGACAAUCUCUGCGGGAAAAGAUUCCGAGUCUCAAAUGCAGCAUUACCUGGCAAAAGGAAACUUAUUAGUUUUCUCCGGUAAAGAAACUAGCAAAAACUUGUCUUCACCAAGCAAGUGACAAGAACUUGGUUGUUUUAGGAUUUGAGAUCGUAAAGGAGUAACAACUGGUGCUGAUCGGACAGCAUUUCUCAUAGAAGAGAUCUUCCCUUUGGAGAUGAUAUAAACUGUGCAGAAAUCAGGCACGCUUUUGCAGAUGUUGGUGCUGACGUCUGUGUAUCUAAAUGAUCUGAGAGAAAAAAGCUGCUUCUCUACUCCAGCAUGGGAAACAAAGUCAACAAUUGCCUUUGCUAAAUCGGUAUCCUCCAGUAUGAUAUCCUUGCACCUAACCUGUUAAAUACUCAAAACUGAAUAAGUGACUGAUAGUUCCAAGGAUUGCAUCUCCUUAAUUGAUUACAACCAUCUUGCAUGACAACUAUGAAAGAGUAUUAGCGGAUUGCAAGACUGACGGUCCAAUGUUUCUCUAAAUGAAAGGCAAACAAAGGCUUCUUAUCUGAAGAACAUCAUGGGCACUUCAUAUAAGAAGAGCAAACAAUCUUGCAUGACCAAAGAUCCGCAAAAGUUCUUUCAGCUGUGGAAUAAUUUCAUAUUUUUCAAUCACAGGUUUCAGUGAUCUUGUGGACCGUUCCAAACCGAACCGGUAUACCGGGCGAUAUACUGAAUAAGAUACUAAAAAUUCAAAGGGGGUUACCCACAUUUUUGCGUUUGCAGAAGCACCGGAAUGGAACGAGCAGUUGACUGGCUGCGGAUGUCACAUCUUCUUGAUGACCCGCUGCAUCACAUCAGAAAGAGAAUG